UUACGAUGAUGUGGAUUUCUUACUGAAUUAAACCUUGAAGUGCAAAUCCAGGAGUUUAAUCCUCAGCAGU
rfam:Canis lupus familiaris chromosome 9, whole genome shotgun sequence.